AGGCUGGCCCCCUGGCAAGGUGUUGACUCCCAGCAGCCUCAGGGACAUCACGGGUUUCUUGGCUGUUUCUUGCUGGCUGGAUUGUGGGACGUAUUAAGAAGAGGUAAGCCUUGUUCUAUGUUGAGAACCUGAAGCAUAACACAUAGACAUCACUGUAAAACAUGACAGCCAUAAGUGGUUAGGGAAAAUCUACUCCUCAGGUCCAGGCUAAGAGGGAGGGAACGGACUCCCUCCAACUGAAGUGAAAUACCACACUGAUUACUUAGCUACAAGUUGCCAUCCAUCCUGGGCUUCCUGUUGUAAAAGGCCUCUCCAAUUCUCCUCAGUACACAAUAGACCACACAUUCCACAGCCACUACGUUUAUUUCCUCCCGGUUACGCACUGACUUUACAUCACUGAAAAUGAUGACCAUACAUUUUCUGACCAUAAAGAAGAGGGAAGCCACCAGGCAUCCCUCGGCAAACAGAAAAAGAGAGUUCUUUCCUCACUUCCUGGUACUGUCUGGAUUGAGGAAUUGGAUUGGAGACAGAGCAACCGUCCAAUGACCAGGAGGAGACAGGACUGGCGAUUAAAAGCUUCCUGAUGAAGACCACACCAAAGAAGAAGGCUUACAAGAUCACUGAGGUCUCCAGGGCCCAGGUUUUGACCCAAAAAUUUUUCCUAAAAAACAAUUUUAUGCCAUGAAACUUUAUUU